GAACGUAGCAAAAUGCGAUACUUGGUGUGAAUUGCAGAAUCCCGUGAACCAUCGAGUUUUUGAACGCAAGUUGCGCCCGAAGCCUUUUGGCCGAGGGCACGUCUGCCUGGGCGUCACGC
rnacentral:rRNA from 1 species